UUGGGGAAGAACAAAAUGACGGUACCCAAGGAAUCAGCAUCGGCUAACUCCGUGCCAGCAGCCGCGGUAAUACGGAGGAUGCAAGCGUUAUCCGGAAUUAUUGGGCGUAAAGCGUCCGCAGGUGGCACUUCAAGUCUGCUGUCAAAGACCGGGGCUUAACCCUGGAGAGGCAGUGGAAACUGAAGCGCUAGAGUGUCGUAGGGGUAGAGGGAAUUCCUGGUGUAGCGGUGAAAUGCGUAGAGAUCAG
rnacentral:rRNA from 1 species